AAAAUAUCACAUAGAGAUAUGCAUGAAGUGGCUGAACAGGGCACUUUCGGCGGCACCUUCGGCGGCCGAAAGUCCUGGACAGAGACGAAACUCAGGUAGGUUCGGCGGCACCUUCGGCGGCCGAAAGUCCCAGACAGAGACGAAAGUCUCUUUUCGGGGGCAACUUCGGCAGCCGAAAGGCCUGCCUCCCCAGCCAUGUUCGGCGGCCGAAAGUGCCUUCGGCUGCCGAACCUGGUUUCUGCCAAAGGGCAGAAACUCG
rnacentral:lncRNA from 1 species